rnacentral:rRNA from 1 species
UGAGGCAUAUUGGUCAAUGGACGGAAGUCUGAACCAGCCAAGUAGCGUGCAGGUUGACGGCCCUAUGGGUUGUAAACUGCUUUUGCAUGGGGAUAAAGUUAGGGACGUGCCCCUAUUUGCCGGUACCAUACGAAUAAGGACCGGCUAAUUUCGUGCCAGCAGCCGCGGUAAUACGGAAGGUCCAGGCGUUAUCCGGCGUUAUUGGGUUUAAAGGGCGCGUAGGCUGGAUAUUAAGUGUGUUGUGAAAUGUAGACGCUCAACGUCUGACUUGCAGCGCAUAAUGGGUUCCGUGAGUACGCACAACGUGGGCGGGAUUCGUCGUGUAGCGGUGAGAUGCUUGGAUAUGACGAAGAACGAAGAUUGCGAGGGAAGAUGACGGGAGGGGAAAUGACGCUUAAGCUCGAAGGUGGGGGUGUCAAACAGG